AAACAAAUGUGUGAAAUUGUUGGGCUGUAGCAUCACCUUUGCCACCCUGCAGUGAUAGUGGAGCUAAAAGUCCCCUGAGAGAGGAGUCGUGUUGAUGGUGGUUGAAGUAGGAGGGUGGAAAUGGAGAAGUUCAGCCUUAUAUUAAUAGGAUCUGUAAGUAAAAUUCACAAGCACCCCAACUGUGUGGUUGGCUGAGCAUCACAGGUGUAAAUUAUUAUUAACUCCAUGCCCAACAGAAUUCAGCUCUCCUCUAUUUUUACUAUAGGAAAACACACAAUAGCUGUGUAUUUUAAUUUUUUUUCUUCUUCCGUCUGUGACUCGAGCCAAAGAGCAAUAGCUAUUUUUUAAAGUUCGCAUUGUGUUCAGGCAUAUAGUAAACAUCCCUCAGUGGUGAGUGUUUUAACAUUCUUUACUUUUCUCUUUUUUUGGGGUGGGGGGACAGAGUCUCACUCUGUUGCCCAGUCUGGAGUGCAGUGGUGUGAUCUCGGCUCACUGCAACCUCCGCCUCCCAGGUCCAAGCUUCAGCCUCCCGAGUAGCUGGGAUUACAGGUGCCCACCACCAUGCCCAGCUCAUUUUUGUAUUUUUUUAGGAGAGAUGAAAUUUCGCCAUGCUGGCCAGGCAGGUCUUGAACUCCUGGCCUCAAGUGAUCCGCCCACCUUGGCCUCCCAAAGUGCUGGGAUUACAGCAUGAGCCACUGUGCCCGGCCUUAACGUUCAUUUUUCAACAUGUAAAUUCAGGCAAGAUUAAUAGAAAGAAAAUGGGGUCCCAGAUUGCCUCACCCCAAGCCCAUCUUCUUUGGGCUUUUGGAGUAUGAAAAGGGGGACGUGCUGUGGUCUCCGCCUGAAGCUGGCUCGCCCGGGAGCCCUCCUGGACCCGUAAGGAGGAGAACAAACCCUGGCAAAUCCGACUGGCCCGAAGUGGAUUUGCUAGAGUGACAGGCAGCAAAAUUAAUUCAGUAAGGCAUUCUUAAGUGUAUCACUUCACAAAGGAGUCAAAACUGCAGGAAUCUGAACGCAAAGAUGCCAAGCAAAAGGACUGGGAGAAGACCUGCCUACUGUGUACAUUUGACUCUGUUUUGUGCCUUAAGAGUUAUGCGAGAGGCUGACUCUAAAGUCGUUAGAAUGGAGAACCCAGGGAGGCUUCCUUCAAGAUGAAGAGUGAGGAGGGAAAGCUGCCAGGAUGCAAGGCUGCUCUGGCGACAGGGUCUUCCCUUCUGCCCCUUAACCCUUUGUCUCUUUCUCUGUUGUCCAGUCCUCUACAAAUUGUCCAGCCCACUGCAGGGAGCCAGUCUGAUGGAUUCAAUAGUUUGCCCCAUUGGAGGGAGUCCUCAUGGGCCACCUGUCAGCCAGUGGACCUAUUCUGGUCAAGUGUCCUCCCCUGAUCUCCAGUGACCUAGGUGGCGCCCAGUCUGGCUUGCCUGGCCACCUCCCACCUCUGGUGGAGGGCAGGCAUCAUGCAUGUAUUUGGAAAAUACAUUUGAUUUUAGAGUUUAAUUCUGGACAGUGGUCUUGGGACUGUCUUCAGUAGCAAGGAUCAUGUGACCAAGUCCCCAUUUCUUUUCACAUUUCAGCUGCCUAAUUUACUCCUAAAAUGUACUCUGUGUGCUGGGUGGGGAAAUUCUGAACUGGCUUCUGAUUCUGGCUCUCACAUCAGGGGACCACCCUUAAGACUCGGAGCAAGCCGCCACUUCUUAGGGUCCCAGUUUGCUGCCCUGUGGCACAGCAGGGUUAGGAGGGAGGAGCACAAACUAACCUGCCAUCACCCCGUGGCUGAGUUGGGAUUUUGAACUGCUGCUGUUAUACAUAAUAACUUUUAUGGCUUCGGGCACCGAGAGAGGGAGGCCCUAAUUCCUUUACCAGAACUCAAACCCUUGUGUACAUAACAUUUUUAGGAAUCUAUGUUCAUAGCUGGGGACAGAGUGGCAGAAUGGUGAAGUGUUCCCACUGGUGUCACACCCGUCUCAGCGAGAAUCAGCCUUUGUCACAGACCUGCUCCGUAACCUCGGGAAGAUGAUCUGACUUCUGGACACCUGGUUUUCCUCCUCUGGGAAGUGGGGAUACUAAUAGGUCCUCCCCGCCCGGCUUAUUGGAGGAGUAAGAGGCAGCACAUGCAAAGCAGUUAACCAGGAGCCCGGGUAGGGACCUGGCUGUGAGUUCAGAGCCUGGGAUUUGUGGGAUGGCCAGUGUAUGCACUUCCAGUGACUGCUGGCAUUACCACAAUCCUUGGUAGCUUAACACAACAGAAAUCUACUCUCUCACAGUUCUAGAGGCCAGAAGUCUAAACUCCAUACUGCUCAGCUGUGCACUGGCUGCGGGCUCCAGGGGAGAAUCUGUUCCUGGUCUCUUCCAGCUUCUGGUGGCCAGCCGCAUUCCUUGGCUCGUGGCUGCAUCGCUCCAGUCUUCAAGAGAUACCUGCAUUGGACAGAUGCAGUGGCUCACACCUGUAAUCCCAGUGCUUUGGGAGGCUGAGGCGGGAGGAUCACUUGGGGCCAGGAAUUGAAGAUUAUGCUGGGCAACAUAGUAAGACCCCGUCUCUACAAAAUAAAAAGAAAAGAACUGUAUUUAGGGCCCACCCAUGUAAUCCAGGAUAAUCUCCUUCCAUGUCAAGACCCUUA